CAGAGACUUAGGAAACUAUGCCUGGUUUACCAUUAGAUGACUGGCUUUGUCAAUCCUUCAUCUCAUUCCCAUUGCGUGUGGACAUUGUGCAUGAUGCAGUUGUUUGUGGAAAUGCGAUACCUAAAACCGUUCAAAAGAUUUCCUCGUUUUCACGGAUUUUAAUUAAAAUAACUACGUAUUUAGUGUUUGUUAAUAGGUGCGUGUGCAAGUCACGUAGAGGACCUUACUGCAUCUUGCAUUUUACGAAUGUGUAUUUCUGCACGGGAUAACUUUGUUGGUGUGAAGGGUUACCUUUCAAGGCUUAUGAGUAGUUUAUAGACGGAAGAAAGAUCUCCUCUUGUAUACGAUUACACCAUUUUCGUGGAAAUCCUUGCCCAUUAUGCAUCUUUUAUCAUAUUCUCUGAUUCCAUGGGACUCUGGCACACUUGUGCGUUUAACUGGCUGAAUGUGGUCUGUUUUUCCCAGUCUGCUACUCAUUUGAUUUAUCUGGGACUAAUUAAGUUAUUCUCUUUUGUGUUUCAUUUUCAGGUUUAUCGGCUGAGAGAAUAACUGUUGAUGAUUUUCAAGGUAUCUCUCUCCUCAAGAGAUACCAUAAUGCUGCAAUCACUUAGUACUUGAUCACCAAGGUCAUAAGUGGCUGGGACGUAUGAAAAUGUCAUUAGCUUUAGUGUGGAAAAAUGAAUGCUCUCCGGUUAUACUGACUACUUUAGCAGAAGUUUUUGGUAGAAAUGAAUCGUCAAAUGUUGUGUUGAGUAUAAAGACAUGUGGUGAGCCUUUGUCCUCACUGACGAGAAGAAAUUAUGCAGAAUUUUUUUUGUCUCGUAGAAUGUGGGACUCUUUAUUCUGGCCUCUCUAUCAUAAGUUCACUGCAUGCAUCAUAUUGUCAUAAAGUGAGGUUUUGCCACUCUUCUGCCUAGGGUGUGAUUGACACGUUCCAGAUGUAUCCAUUUCUUUGGUAUGAUCUGGUUAGCAACUCCCUCGUUGAGCCUGCCUCAUUUGUCAUUUAAUCCGUCGUGGAUACCUCCGUGAUGACAGUGAGGCACCACGACGCCCUGGUUGUCUUCUCUUCAUCUUACCCUGUGAAGAGUAUUCUAGUGCUAUUUGAGGGAGUUGGUAACUGUUUAUCUAUUUACUUUUCCACGUUAAACUUUCCCUGUUAUGUUCGUUAUGUGCAUUCUAUAUUAGAUUGUCGAAAUAUAUGCCAAUGUAAAAUUAAAAGAUGUGGGCCGAAGGUGGAAAUAUGUGACAUGUUUAAACAGAUAACUUGAACCGAUAAAUUUCGAAAGUGGGCACCAUGAUUGUGUUGAUUAGGUUUUUCUUGUAUAGAUUCUUUGAUAUAACUUUUUCUUUUUGGUAGCUUAAUCGAAACUCCAAACAAAGAUAGGAAAAAUAGAGGGUCUGGUGUAAUAACGGAGUCCUUGAGUCGCUUAGGCUCUAUUUAAUUUG
rnacentral:lncRNA from 1 species